CUCUACAGCCAUACUACCCUGAACAAGCCUGAUCCCAUCUGAUCUCGGAAGCUAAGCAGGGUCGGGCCUGGUUAGUUCUUGGAUGGGAGACCACCUAGGAAGACCAGGUGCUGUAGGCA
rnacentral:rRNA from 1 species